rnacentral:rRNA from 1 species
UUCGCAAUGCCCGAAAGGGUGACGAAGCGACGCCGCGUGUGGGAAGAAGGCCCUCGGGUUGUAAACCGCUGUUGGGAGUUAGGAAGUGUGGAGGCGUUAAUAGCGCUUCCAUUUGACUAAAGCUCCAGAGGAAGCCACGGCUAACUCUGUGCCAGCAGCCACGGUAAUACAGAGGCGGCAAGCGUUGUUCGGAAUUAUCGGGCGUAAAGAGCACGUAGGCGGCUCUGCAAGUCAGCUGUGAAAGCCUUCUGCUUAACGGAAGAACAGCAGUUGAAACUACAGGGCUUGAGUGCGGGAGGGGAGAGUGGAACUUCUGGUGGAGCGGUGAAAUGCGUAGAUAUCAGAAGGAACGCCGGCGGCGAAAGCGGCUCUCUGGUCCGCAACUGACGCUGAGUGUGCGAAAGCUAGGGGAGCAAACGGGAUUAGAUACCCCGGUAGUCCUAGCCGUAAACGAUGGGCACUAAGUAGAGGGGUUUU